GGCCCGGGCAGCAGCGGCGGCGGCGGCGAGGUCAGAGGGAUCCUCGCAGAAACUGUGGUGGCUUCCGUGUGUUGGUGGAGGAAGAGGCAGGUCUUGGCGGUUCAACAGUAUGGCUCCAAAUGAUGAAAUUUCAUUCUGUUUUUCUGGCUGAAUACUAUUCUAUUUGUAGACAUCCACCACAGUUACUUUAUCCCUUCAUGUGUGGAUGGGCAGGUUUUUCCACAUGGCUGCAAAUGACUAGAUUUCACUCAUUUCUGUGGUUGAAGAAUAUUCCAUUCUGGAUGUAUAUUGCAGUUUCCUCAUCCCUUCAUCAAUGAAUGAACAGGUAGGUGUAUUUCCUGUCUUAGCUAUUGUGAGUACCACAGUACACAGGGCAAGGCAGGUAUCUCUUCCACACAGGAAUUUCGUUGGCUGUAAAUGUAUAACCAAUGGCGGGAUGGCUAGAUGAAAUGGCGUUUUUACUUUGAGGAACUUCUGGCUGUUUUUCCUAAUGUGUGUACAAAUUGACAUUCCUACCAAUCGUGUAUUAGAAGAGUUUCCCCUUCUGCAAGUCUAUACCAGUUGUUUCCUUUUCAAACUUUUAUUUUUGUUUUAGGUAACAUUCAUUCUAUGAGAGUGG